rnacentral:rRNA from 1 species
ACACAUGCAAGUCGAGGGGCAGCAUGAUUGAAGCUUGCUUCAAUUGAUGGCGACCGGCGCACGGGUGAGUAACGCGUAUCCAACCUUCCGUACACUCAGGGAUAGCCUUUCGAAAGAAAGAUUAAUACCUGAUGGUAUGAUGAGAUUGCAUGAUAGCAUCAUUAAAGAUUUAUCGGUGUACGAUGGGGAUGCGUUCCAUUAGGUAGUAGGCGGGGUAACGGCCCACCUAGCCUACGAUGGAUAGGGGUUCUGAGAGGAAGGUCCCCCACAUUGGAACUGAGACACGGUCCAAACUCCUACGGGAGGCAGCAGUGAGGAAUAUUGGUCAAUGGACGAGAGUCUGAACCAGCCAAGUAGCGUGAAGGAUGAAGGUCUUACGGAUUGUAAACUUCUUUUAUAAGGGAAUAAAACCUCCCACGUGUGGGAGCUUGUAUGUACCUUAUGAAUAAGCAUCGGCUAACUCCGUGCCAGCAGCCGCGGUAAUACGGAGGAUGCGAGCGUUAUCCGGAUUUAUUGGGUUUAAAGGGAGCGCAGACGGGUCGUUAAGUCAGCUGUGAAAGUUUGGGGCUCAACCUUAAAAUUGCAGUUGAUACUGGCGUCCUUGAGUACAGUAGAGGCAGGCGGAAUUCGUGGUGUAGCGGUGAAAUGCUUAGAUAUCACGAAGAACUCCGAUUGCGAAGGCAGCUUGCUGGACUGUAACUGACGCUGAUGCUCGAAAGUGUGGGUAUCAAACAGGAUUAGAUACCCUGGUAGUCCACACAGUAAACGAUGAAUACUCGCUGUUUGCGAUAUACAGUAAGCGGCCAAGCGAAAGCGUUAAGUAUUCCACCUGGGGAGUACGCCGGCA